rnacentral:rRNA from 1 species
CAAAAGCGUAUAUUAAAGUUGUUGCAGUUAAAAAGCUCGUAGUUGAACCUUGGGCUUGGCUGGCCGGUCCAUCUUUUUUGAUGCGUACUGGACCCAGCCGAGCCUUUCCUUCUGGCUAGCCUUUUGGCGAACCAGGACUUAUACUUUGAAAAAAUUAGAGUGUUCAAAGCAGGCCUUUGCUCGAAUAUAUUAGCAUGGAAUAAUAGAAUAGGACGUUAUGGUUCUAUUUUGUUGGUUUCUAGGACCAUCGUAAUGAUUAAUAGGGACGGUCGGGGGUAUCAGUAUUCAGUUGUCAGAGGUGAAAUUCUUGGAUUUACUGAAGACUAACUACUGCGAAAGCAUUUACCAAGGACGUUUUCAUUAA